GAUGAACGCUGGCGGCGUGCCUAAUACAUGCAAGUCGAACGAUGAAGCUAGAGCUUGCUCUGGUGGAUUAGUGGCGAACGGGUGAGUAACACGUGAGUAACCUGCCCCGAACUCUGGGAUAACUGCUGGAAACGGUAGCUAAUACUGGAUACGACCAACGAAGGCAUCUUCUGUUGGUGGAAAGAAUUUCGGUUCGGGAUGGACUCGCGGCCUAUCAGCUUGUUGGUGAGGUAACGGCUCACCAAGGCGACGACGGGUAGCCGGCCUGAGAGGGUGAUCGGCCACACUGGGACUGAGACACGGCCCAGACUCCUACGGGAGGCAGCAGUGGGGAAUAUUGCACAAUGGGCGCAAGCCUGAUGCAGCAACGCCGCGUGAGGGACGACGGCCUUCGGGUUGUAAACCUCUUUUAGUAGGGAAGAAGCGAAAGUGACGGUACCUGCAGAAAAAGCACCGGCUAACUACGUGCCAGCAGCCGCGGUAA
rnacentral:rRNA from 1 species